GACGAACGCUGGCGGCGUGCUUAAUACAUGCAAGUCGAACGAGUGGGAACGGGUGAGUAACACGUGGGUAACCUCCCAUCAGAGGGGAUAACACUUGGAAACAGGUGCUAAACCGAUAUUGAUGGAUGGACCCGCGGUGCAUUAGCUAGUUGGUGAGGUAACGGCUCACCAAGGCCACGAUGCAUAGCCGACCGGAGAGGGUGGUCGGCAACACUGGGACUGAGACACGGCCCAGACUCCUCCGGGAGGCAGCGUUGGGGAAUCUUCGGCAAUGGACGAAAGUCUGACCGAGCAACGCCGCGUGAGUGAAGAGGGUUUUCGGAUCGUAAAACUCUGUUGUUAGAGAAGCGGUAUCUAACCAGAAAGCCACGGCUAACUACGUGCCAGCCGCCGCGGUAAUAC
rnacentral:rRNA from 1 species